UCACAUCCGAGGCCUUGUAAUUGGAAUGAGUACACUUUAAAUCCUUUAACAAGGAUCAAUUGGAGGGCAAGUCUGGUGCCAGCAGCCGCGGUAAUUCCAGCUCCAAUAGCGUAUAUUAAAGUUGUUGCGGUUAAAACGUUCGUAGUUGAACUUGUGCUUCGCACGGGCAAUACCAAGAAUCAUGUACUUGGUUCGGUAUCUUGUCUUAUCUUCAUUUAUUUUCGAUAUGAAAAGUGCGUGAGCGUAUUAUCGGCGUGUUUUCUCUUGGAAAUUUCACAUAAGCUUGCUUCAGUGCUCUUAAACAAGUGCAGUUGUAAGCCGAUACAAAUUACUUUGAACAAAUUAGAGUGCUUAAAGCAGGCUUGUAAUGCCUGAAUAUUUUGUGCAUGGAAUAAUGAAAUAGGACAUCUGUUCUACUUUCAUUGGUUUUUUAGACCAAGAUGUAAUGAUUAAUGGAAGCAGUUGGGGGCAUUAGUAUUACAACGCGAGAGGUGAAAUUCUUAGACCGUUGUAAGACUGACUAAAGCGAAAGCAUUUGCCAAAGAUGUUUUCUUUUAAUCAAGAACGAAAGUUAGAGGUUCGAAGGCGAUCAGAUACCGCCCUAGUUCUAACCAUAAACGAUGCCAGCUAGCAAUUGAGUGUAGCUACUACUAUGGCUCUUUCAGUCGCUUCUCGGGAAACCAAAGCUUUUGGGUUCCGGGGGAAGUAUGGUUGCAAAGCUGAAACUUAAAGGAAUUGACGGAAGGGCACCACCAGGAGUGGAGCCUGCGGCUUAAUUUGACUCAACACGGGAAAACUUACCAGGUCCGAACAUAAAUGAGUAAGACAGAUUG
rnacentral:rRNA from 1 species